rnacentral:rRNA from 1 species
UACGUAGGGGGCAAGCGUUGUCCGGAAUUAUUGGGCGUAAAGAGCUCGUAGGCGGCCUGUUGCGUCCGCUGUGAAAUCCCGGGGCUCAACCCCGGGCCUGCAGUGGAUACGGGCUGGCUAGAGGCAGGCAGGGGAGAACGGAAUUCCUGGUGUAGCGGUGAAAUGCGCAGAUAUCAGGAGGAACACCGGUGGCGAAGGCGGUUCUCUGGGCUUGUACUGACGCUGAGGAGCGAAAGCGUGGGGAGCGAACAGG